rnacentral:rRNA from 1 species
CCUACGGGUGGCAGCAGUGAGGAAUAUUGGUCAAUGGACGAGAGUCUGAACCAGCCAAGUAGCGUGAAGGAUGAAUGCCCUAUGGGUUGUAAACUUCUUUUAUAUGGGAAUAAAAUGUUCCACGUGUGGGAGUUUGUAUGUACCAUAUGAAUAAGCAUCGGCUAACUCCGUGCCAGCAGCCGCGGUAAUACGGAGGAUCCGAGCGUUAUCCGGAUUUAUUGGGUUUAAAGGGAGCGUAGGUGGAUUGUUAAGUCAGUUGUGAAAGUUUGGGGCUCAACCGUAAAAUUGCAGUUGAAACUGGCAGUCUUGAGUACAGUAGAGGUAGGUGGAAUGCGUGGUGUAGCGGUGAAAUGCUUAGAUAUCACGAAGAACUCCGAUUGCGAAGGCAGCUCACUGGACUGCAACUGACACUGAGGCUCGAAAGUGUGGGUAUCAAACAGGAUUAGAUACCCUAGUAGUC